GCCAGACUCCUACGGGAGGCAGCAGUGGGGAAUAUUGCACAAUGGGGGAAACCCUGAUGCAGCAACGCCGCGUGGGUGAAGAAGUAUUUCGGUAUGUAAAGCCCUAUUAGCAGGGAAGAGAAUGACGGUGCCUGACUAAGAAGCCCCGGCUAACUACGUGCCAGCAGCCGCGGUAAUACGUAGGGGGCAAGCGUUAUCCGGAUUUACUGGGUGUAAAGGGAGCGUAGACGGUUGUGCAAGUCUGAAGUGAAAGCCCGCGGCUCAACUGCGGAACGGCUUUGGAAACUGUGUAACUGGAGUGCUGGAGAGGUAAGCGGAAUUCCUGGUGUAGCGGUGAAAUGCGUAGAGAUCAGGAGGAACACCGGCGGCGAAGGCGGCUUACUGGACAGUAACUGACGUUGAGGCUCGAAAGCGUGGGGAGCAAACAGGAUUAGAUACCCCCGUA
rnacentral:rRNA from 1 species